ACCCCGAAGCUUGUGCCCGGGUAUUGGCACAUACCUCCCUGUUGGACUUGGCCGGGCUUCGUGCCCGGCCUUUUUU
rfam:Sulfitobacter sp. EhC04 A4_Contig22, whole genome shotgun sequence.